rnacentral:misc_RNA from 1 species
AAGUCGUAACAAGGUUUCCGUAGGUGAACCUGCGGAAGGAUCAUUACCAAAUCCAAAACCCUUUAUAUCAACACCCCAAUGUGAACUGAGAAUGGUUUCGUUCCCCUCCUCUCUUUUCUUCCUUUCUGCCUUGCGCGGAAGGACGAAGGCGAGAGGGGGGAGAAUGUUAUACACUUUUUUUUUCAACCCCUUUCCAACCAUAUUAACCCAUUUUUUGAAUGCUGAAAGCAAAAAAAAACGAAACAUGAGACAACUUUUAACGGUGGAUCUCUUGGCUCGU